AGAACCUUACCAGCCCUUGACAUGGGGAGUAUGGUCUUUGGAGACGAAGACCUUCAGUUCGGCUGGCUCCCGCACAGGUGCUGCAUGGCUGUCGUCAGCUCGUGUCGUGAGAUGUUGGGUUAAGUCCCGCAACGAGCGCAACCCUUGUUCUCAGUUGCCAUCGGGUAGGGCCGGGCACUCUGAGGAGACUGCCGGUGACAAGCCGGAGGAAGGCGGGGAUGACGUCAAGUCCUCAUGGCCCUUAUGGGCUGGGCUACACACGUGCUA
rnacentral:rRNA from 1 species